GUGACGGGGUGUCCUGGAUCCAAAGAGACGAACUCAAUAUCUCGUGUGACCACUGUUAGCGUUGAUUACCGCCAGACAUCUUCUGUUUGCAAAAGAGAUUG